AUUGAACGCUGGCGGCAGGCCUAACACAUGCAAGUCGAACGGUAACAGGAAACAGCUUGCUGUUUCGCUGACGAGUGGCGGACGGGUGAGUAAUGUCUGGGAAACUGCCUGAUGGAGGGGGAUAACUACUGGAAACGGUAGCUAAUACCGCAUAACGUCGCAAGACCAAAGAGGGGGACCUUCGGGCCUCUUGCCAUCGGAUGUGCCCAGAUGGGAUUAGCUAGUAGGUGGGGUAACGGCUCACCUAGGCGACGAUCCCUGGCUGGUCUGAGAGGAUGACCAGCCAAACUGGAAAUGAGACACGGUCCAGACUCCUACGGGAGGCAGCAGUGGGGAAUAUUGCACAAUGGGCGCAAGCCUGAUGCAGCCAUGCCGCGUGUAUGAAGAAGGCCUUCGGGUUGUAAAGUACUUUCAGCGGGGAGGAAGGGAGUAAAGUUAAUACCUUUGCUCAUUGACGUUACCCGCAGAAGAAGCACCGGCUAACUCCGUGCCAGCAGCCGCCGUAA
rnacentral:rRNA from 1 species